rnacentral:rRNA from 1 species
UACGAAGGGGGCUAGCGUUGCUCGGAAUCACUGGGCGUAAAGCGCACGUAGGCGGAUUGCUAAGUCAGGGGUGAAAUCCUGGAGCUCAACUCCAGAACUGCCUUUGAUACUGGCGAUCUUGAGUCCGGGAGAGGUGAGUGGAACUGCGAGUGUAGAGGUGAAAUUCGUAGAUAUCAGGAGGAACACCGAUGGCGAAGGCAGCUCGCUGGGACGGUACUGACGCUGAGGCGCGAAAGCGUGGGGAGCAAACAGG